UGUGCCAGCCGCCGCGGUAAUACGUAGGGUGCGAGCGUUGUCCGGAAUUAUUGGGCGUAAAGAGCUUGUAGGCGGUUUGUCGCGUCUGCUGUGAAAGCCCGGGGCUUAACCCUGGGUCUGCAGUGGGUACGGGCAGGCUAGAGUGUGGUAGGGGAGACUGGAAUUCCUGGUGUAGCGGUGGAAUGCGCAGAUAUCAGGAGGAACACCGAUGGCGAAGGCAGGUCUCUGGGCCAUUACUGACGCUGAGAAGCGAAAGCGUGGGGAGCGAACA
rnacentral:rRNA from 1 species